CAUGCAAGUCGAGGGGCAGCAUUUCAGUUUGCUUGCAAACUGGAGAUGGCGACCGGCGCACGGGUGAGUAACACGCUAUCCAACCUGCCGAUAACUCGGGGAUAGCCUUUCGAAAGAAAGAUUAAUACCCGAUGGUAUAAUCAGACCGCAUGGUCUUAUUAUUAAAGAAUUUCGGUUAUCGAUGGGGAUGCGUUCCAUUAGGCAGUUGGUGAGGUAACGGCUCACCAAACCUUCGAUGGAUAGGGGUUCUGAGAGGAAGGUCCCCCACAUUGGAACUGAGACACGGUCCAAACUCNUACGGGAGGCAGCAGUGAGGAAUAUUGGUCAAUGGGCGCAGGCCUGAACCAGCCAAGUAGCGUGAAGGAUGACUGCCCUAUGGGUUGUAAACUUCUUUUAUAUGGGAAUAAAGUUUUCCACGUGUGGAAUUUUGUAUGUACCAUAUGAAUAAGGAUCGGCUAACUCCGUGCCAGCAGCCGCGGUAAUACGGAGGAUCCGAGCGUUAUCCGGAUUUAUUGGGGUUUAAAGGGAGCGUAGGUGGACAGUUAAGUCAGUUGUGAAAGUUUGCGGCUCAACCGUAAAAAAUUGCAGUUGAUACUGGCUGUCUUGAGUACAGUAGAGGUGGGCGGAAUUCGUGGUGUAGCGGUGAAAUGCUUAGAUAUCACGAAGAACUCCGAUUGCGAAGGCAGCUCACUGGACUGCAACUGACACUGAUGCUCGAAAGUGUGGGUAUCAAACAGGAUUAGAUACCCUGGUAGUCCACACAGUAAACGAUGAAUACUCGCUGUUUGCGAUAUACAGUAAGCGGNCCAAGCGAAAGCAUUAAGUAUUCCACCUGGGGAAGUACGCCGGCAACGGUGAAACUCAAAGGAAUUGACGGGGGCCCGCACAAGCGGAGGAACAUGUGGUUUAAUUCGAUGAUACGCGAGGAACCUUACCCGGGCUUAAAUUGCAUUUGAAUAAUUUGGAAACAGNUUAGCCGNAAGGCAAAUGUGAAGGUGCUGCAUGGUUGUCGUCAGCUCGUGCCGUGAGGUGUCGGCUUAAGUGCCAUAACGAGCGCAACCCUUAUCUUUAGUUACUAACAGGUCAUGCUGAGGACUCUAGAGAGACUGCCGUCGUAAGAUGUGAGGAAGGUGGGGAUGACGUCAAAUCAGCACGGCCCUUACGUCCGGGGCUACACACGUGUUACAAUGGGGGGUACAGAAGGCAGCUACCUGGUGACAGGAUGCUAAUCCCAAAAGCCUCUCUCAGUUCGGAUCGAAGUCUGCAACCCGACUUCGUGAAGCUGGAUUCGCUAGUAAUCGCGCAUCAGCCAUGGCGCGGUGAAUACGUUCCCGGGCCUUGUACACACCGCCCGUCAAGCCAUGAAAGCCGGGGGUACCUGAAGUACGUAACCGCAAGAG
rnacentral:rRNA from 1 species